rnacentral:rRNA from 1 species
UACGUAGGGUGCAAGCGUUAAUCGGAAUUACUGGGCGUAAAGCGUGCGCAGGCGGUUAUGUAAGACAGGUGUGAAAUCCCCGGGCUUAACCUGGGAACUGCAUUUGUGACUGCAUAGCUAGAGUACGGUAGAGGGGGAUGGAAUUCCGCGUGUAGCAGUGAAAUGCGUAGAUAUGCGGGAGGAACACCGAUGGCGAAGGCAAUCCCCUGGACCUGUACUGACGCUCAUGCACGAAA